rnacentral:rRNA from 1 species
UCGAACGGACGAGGAGGAGCUUGCUUCUCCAAGUCAGUGGCGGACGGGUGAGUAACGCGUGAGUAACCUGCCCUUCAGAGGGGGAUAACGUCUGGAAACGGACGCUAAUACCGCAUGACAUAUUUCCAUCGCAUGGUGGAGAUAUCAAAGGAGCAAUCCGCUGAAGGAUGGACUCGCGUCCGAUUAGAUAGUUGGCGGGGUAACGGCCCACCAAGUCGACGAUCGGUAGCCGGACUGAGAGGUUGAACGGCCACAUUGGGACUGAGACACGGCCCAGACUCCUACGGGAGGCAGCAGUGGGGGAUAUUGCACAAUGGGCGAAAGCCUGAUGCAGCAACGCCGCGUGAGGGAAGACGGUUUUCGGAUUGUAAACCUCUGUUCUAAGUGACGAACAAAUGACGGUAGCUUAGGAGAAAGCCCCGGCUAACUACGUGCCAGCAGCCGCGGUAAUACGUAGGGGGCAAGCGUUGUCCGGAAUUACUGGGUGUAAAGGGAGCGCAGGCGGAGAAGCAAGUCAGUGGUGAAAACGAUGGGCUUAACUCAUCGACUGCCAUUGAAACUGUUUCCCUUGAGUGAAGUAGAGGCAGGCGGAAUUCCGAGUGUAGCGGUGAAAUGCGUAGAUAUUCGGAGGAACACCAGUGGCGAAGG